UCCAGCCAGGAAGGAAAGGUCUUGCUUUGAAGUCUGUCUUUUCUUUUCUUGCUACCUAAAUCUAUCCUAAUUGGCAGUAAAUUAAUUUUCCCCAAGUAGAGUAUGUUUCACCUCUGACAAUAAUUGGUUAUCUGAAAUGGUAUCAGACACUUAUAUUUAAGCAACUGAAUAUCCCAGUUGUACUGUGUCAGUCUCACUCUCUGAAUCAAAUUACAUACAGAUUCAAACGUGACUGUCUAAGAAGGAGACUUCCAUGUAUCCCUUUUCUGUACCUGCAAACAAGGCGCUUCCUGCCUUCAGCUCUUGGUGUGUCUGUGGUGGCUGUUCACUAUGUGGAGUCCAUGUCCACAGCUGGAGGAGAAUCGGACAGCAACUUUAGCAAGCCUUCAUGAAGCUCAGGAAAUGGAAAAUGGACAGAAUCAACACUGAGCAGCUGCUUUUAUAGUCUAAGAUAAAAGUAGAAGGAGUUAUGAGCACUGUGUAAGAUAAUGAACCUCUGUAUAAACUACCUGCCUGAGAGAUACGUCUAUAUGUUAAUAAGGCAAAUAUACAGGGACAAGCCAUGCUGAGUACUCUGUUUCACUUUUUUCUGUGCCUUUUUUUUGGCUCUGUGAAUGCUCUGAUGAGAUCUUACCUAUGUCCUGUCUGGGUGGGAGUCAAUUCUUCCUCCAAAUUGUCUGCUGUUAUCCUAGCAGGAGAUUUGCCUAGUAGAUACAAAUUAAAAAUAAGACAAGGGUUUCACAAAAUUUCUGUUUGGAUUAUAACCAUGUGGUUUUCACAGUUCUUCAAGAUUAGCUUUGUACCAGUGUAACUACAUCUAAUUUAGAGAAGUUGUUCUUGA